rnacentral:rRNA from 1 species
AUGUCACUCUUGACCACAGCCACUUUCAUGGCCCUUGCCUGCUUGUGCUUCGCCCCUGCACCUGCAGUGGGUGCAGCGGCGACUCUCUCGGCGUGGCGUCCGCUGCGAGGCAACCACACGAUGGUCUCGGCACAGGGCAAGUUCGAGCUCGCUCUGUUCAGCCCUGCUGGCAGCUCCGGAGACAGGUUCUACCUCGGGAUCUGGUACAAGAAAAUCCCCGGCCAGACCAUCAUCUGGGUGGGCAACCGCGCGAGUCCGCUAUCUGCUGUCACCUCCGCCGAGUUCCGUGUCUCCGCUGACGACGGCAACCUCGAGCUCGUCGGCCCCGCCGCCGCCUCCACCUCGCCGGUCGUCGUGUGGUCUUCGAACCUGUCGUUUGCCUUGUGGCCGGGCUCAAACAACAUGGCGGAGAUCCACGACAACGACAACCUGGUCCUUGUCGACGGCCGCAACUCCUCCAACGUGCUGUGGCAGAGCUUCGACCACCCGACGGACACGCUGGUGCCGGAAGCGUGGAUCGGGGAAAACAAGCUCACCGGCGAGUACCAGGCGCUCACAUCGUGGCGGAACGCCCAAGACCCCGCGCCGGGGAUCUUCAGUGAGACGCUGGACCCGAAAGGCGCUAGCGAGGUCUUCUACAUGUGGAACCGGUCCCGCGUGUACUGGCGGACCGGCGUUUGGACCGGCCAAGCCUUCGCGAAGCUGCCGGAGGCGACCAAAAACACCAUCUACAAUGGGACGUACGUCGAGACGCCGGCAUACCGGCGCGUCAUCAACGUGCUCUACGACAAUGCAACCAUAACACGCAGCGUGCUCGAUCCCACCGGUCAGGCACAAAUGUACAUUUGGAUGCCCACGAGCCGGAGCUGGCAGCUCUUGUGGACCGGUCCCAUGUUGCAGUGCGACGUGUACGCGGUCUGCGGCGCAUUCGGCGUUUGCGACGAGGGAGGCAAGCUACCUUGCCACUGUCCGCCCGGAUUUGUCCCGGUGACGGAGGGGGACUGGACGCUCAACGAUUGGAGCGGUGGGUGCUGCCGGAGCUCACCGCUCAGGUGCGCGCACAACGGAUCAAGGACGGGCGGGUUCGUGAUGCUGCCAGACAUGAAACUUCCACAUGACUCGCUCACCGUGGGCGUUGCCCAGAGCAAAGUAGAGUGCGAAUCGGCUUGCUUAAAGAGCUGCUCUUGCCAGGCCUACGCCUUCUCUGCCGGGGAGUGCAUCGUCUGGUACGGAGAGCUCCGCAAGCUUCAGCAGCUCUACUUGGAAUUGGAAUAUGACAGCCCCGGGUCUAACCUAUACCUUCGGCUUUCAGAAAGAGGAUUGCAAGAUCUCCAUAGCGUAGACAGGGAGAAAAUGGGAAGAAAGUUAUGGUUUGUCCUUGGCAUCAUAUUGGCUGGUGUUGUAGCAGUGGGGGCAUCGGUGUUACUAGGCUGGAGGAUUGUUCGUACCCGAAGGAGACUAGUCAGUAUGGCAAAUGAGAAUGUAUCCUCCUUGGCCGUGUACAGUUACGGCGACCUCCAUGCCGCCACGAAGGACUUCUCGGAGCGGCUGGGCCGCGGUAGCUUCGGCUCGGUGUACCGCGGUGUUCUGAACCGGCAUAAGGGAGACAACUCAAUCAGAGUCCAGGUGGCAGUGAAGAAGCUUGAAAGUCUUGGGCGGCAAGGCGACAAGCAAUUCCGGACGGAGGUGAGCACACUGGGCUGUAUCCAGCACGUGAACCUCGUACGGCUCCUCGGGUUCUGCUCGUCGGACGACGAUAAGAUGCUUGUCUACGCCCAGAGGCUCCCUCGACGGCCUCCUCUUCCGUGA